rnacentral:rRNA from 1 species
GUGAGGAAUAUUGGUCAAUGGGCGAGAGCCUGAACCAGCCAAGUCGCGUGAAGGAAGAAGGAUCUAUGGUUCGUAAACUUCUUUUGUAGGGGAAUAAAGUGCGGGACGUGUCCUGUUUUGUAUGUACCCUGAGAAUAAGGAUCGGCUAACUCCGUGCCAGCAGCCGCGGUAAUACGGAGGAUCCGAGCGUUAUCCGGAUUUAUUGGGUUUAAAGGGUGCGUAGGUGGUUUGAUAAGUCAGCGGUGAAAGUUUGCAGCUUAACUGUAAAAAUGCCGUUGAAACUGUCGGACUUGAGUGUAAAUGAGGUAGGCGGAAUGCGUGGUGUAGCGGUGAAAUGCAUAGAUAUCACGCAGAACUCCGAUUGCGAAGGCAGCUUACUAAGCUACAACUGACACUGAAGCACGAAAGCGUGGGGAUCAAACAGGAUUAGAAACCCGGGUAGUCC